rnacentral:rRNA from 1 species
GACGAACGCUGGCGGCGUGCCUAAUACAUGCAAGUCGAGCGAAUGACGAGAAGCUUGCUUCUCUGAUUUAGCGGCGGACGGGUGAGUAACACGUGGGCAACCUGCCCUGUAGACUGGGAUAACUUCGGGAAACCGGAGCUAAUACCGGAUAAUUCUUUUAGCCUCAUGGCUUUAAGCUAAAAGGCGCUUCGGCGUCACUACAGGAUGGGCCCGCGGUGCAUUAGCUAGUUGGUGGGGUAACGGCCUACCAAGGCAACGAUGCAUAGCCGACCUGGGAGGGUGAUCGGCCACAUUGGGGCUGAGACACGGCCCAAACUCCUACGGGAGGCAGCAGUAGGGAAUCUUCCACAAUGGACGAAAGUCUGAUGGAGCAACGCCGCGUGAGUGAUGAAGGUUUUCGGAUCGUAAAACUCUGUUGUAAGGGAAGAACAAGUGCGUUAGGUAAUGAACGCACCUUGACGGUACCUUAUUAGAAAGCCACGGCUAACUACGUGCCAGCCGCCGCCGUAA